GCUUGAGGAGGGCGGGGCCGUUCCGCAGGCCCGCCAGUGUCCUCAGCUGCCUCCGCGCGCCAAAGUCAAACCCCGACACCCGCCGGCGGGCCGGUGAGCUCACUAGCUGACCCGGCAGGUCAGGAUCUGGCUUAGCGGCGCCGCGAGCUCCAGUGCGCGCACCUGUGGCCGCCUCCCAGCCCUCUCUGCCGGACGAGCUCUGGGCCGCCACAAGACUAAGGAAUGGCCACCCCGCCCAAGAGAAGCUGCCCGUCUCUCUCAGCCAGCUCUGAGGGGACCCGCAUCAAGAAAAUCUCCAUCGAAGGGAACAUCGCUGCCGGGAAGUCAACAUUUGUGAAUAUCCUUAAACAAUUGUGUGAAGAUUGGGAAGUGGUUCCUGAACCUGUUGCCAGAUGGUGCAAUGUUCAAAGUACUCAAGAUGAAUUUGAGACAUGCUUACAUAGAAUGUAUUUACGGGGAAGAAAUGAAGAGCAAGGCAUUCCUCUUGAAUAUUUAGAGAAGCUUCAUUAUAAACAUGAAAGCUGGCUCCUGCAUAGGACA
rnacentral:lncRNA from 1 species